GACGUAGGGUGCGAGCGUUGUCCGGAAUUAUUGGGCGUAAAGGGCUCGUAGGCGGUCUGUCGCGUCGGUAGUGAAAACUCAGGGCUUAACCCUGAGCCUGCUUCCGAUACGGGCAGACUAGAGGUAUGCAGGGGAGAAUGGAAUUCCUGGUGUAGCGGUGAAAUGCGCAGAUAUCAGGAGGAACACCGGUGGCGAAGGCGAGUCUCUGGACAUUUCCUGACGCUGAGGCACGAAAGCCAGGGGAGCAAACGGG
rnacentral:rRNA from 1 species